rnacentral:rRNA from 1 species
GACGAACGCUGGCGGCGUGCUUAACACAUGCAAGUCGAACGGUAAGGCCCUUCGGGGUACACGAGUGGCGAACGGGUGAGUAACACGUGGGUGAUCUGCCCUGCACUUCGGAAUAAGCCUGGGAAACUGGGUCUAAUACCGGAUAGGACCACUGCCUGCAGGGGUGGGGGUGGAAAGCUUUUGCGGUGUGGGAUGGGCCCGCGGCCUAUCAGUUUGUUGGUGGGGUGAUGGCCUACCAAGGCGACGACGGGUAGCCGGCCUGAGAGGGUGACCGGCCACACUGGGACUGAGAUACGGCCCAGACUCCUACGGGAGGCAGCAGUGGGGAAUAUUGCACAAUGGGCGCAAGCCUGAUGCAGCGACGCCGCGUGAGGGGUGACGGCCUUCGGGUUGUAAACCUCUUUCAGCAUCGACGAAGCGAAAGUGACGGUAGGUGCAGAAGAAGGACCGGCCAACUACGUGCCAGCAGCCGCCGUAA